ACUAGUUACUGGAAAUAGUUUGUUGUUUACGUUAAUUUAAAAUGAACUUAAAUAAAUAAAAUCGUUUGAAUCGUAUUUCUGUCAGAUUUCCUUCCCUUGAUCCUGGGGAGGCGUGCUUUGUGUCUGUUCAAAGGCACAGAGGGAUAACCAGACAGGAUGUCGAUGUCGCAUCUGUACGGGCGCGAUGAGGAGGAGGACGGGGUGGAGCUGGAGCGCUUCGAGGUCACGGACUGGGACCUCCAGAACGAGUUCAACCCAGAGCGCCGGCGCCACCGCCAGACCAAGGAGGAGGCCACCUACGGGAUGUGGGCAGAGCAUGACUCCGACGACGAGAGGCCCAGCUUCGGGGGCAAGAGAACGGCAUGCAGGUCGAAGGACUACACCGCCCCUGUGAACUUCAUCAGCGCAGGGCUGCGCAAGUCUGCAGCGGAGGAGCGAGAGCAGAGACAAAGCCAGCAGGACUCGGACGAUUCCGAUGACAUGGACAAGGGGAAGAGGGAGGAGAGACCCAGGGAGUCGGGGCCCAGGAAACUGCAGACGGGCGCGAGCUUCAAGGGAUCUCAGAAAGGAUUUGUGGGCGGGCCUCGUCUGGGCCAGGAUUUCGCGAACUGGGAGCGACACACCCGUGGGAUCGGGCAGAAGCUGCUGGAGAAGAUGGGCUACGUCCCCGGGAGGGGGCUGGGCAAGAACGCACAAGGUAUCCUUAACCCCAUCGAAGCGAAGGCCCGCAAGGGGAAGGGAGCAGUGGGGGCGUAUGGAGCGGAGAGGACCAAGCAGUCCCUGCAGGACUUCCCCGUGGUGGACUCUGAGGAGGAGGAGGAGAAGGAUUUCCAGCAGGAGAUGAGUCAGUGGCGGAGGGAGCCAGGCCAGGGCAGGAAGAAACCUAAAUACUCGUACAGGACGGUGGACGAGCUGAAAGCCAAGGGCUACGCGAUGGGCAAGAGCAUGGCAGCGCCACCGACAGAGCUGGCACAGGUCAAGGUGAUCGACAUGACUGGGCGCGAGCACAAGGUCUAUUCCAGCUACAGCCAGAUGAGCAACAAGCACAGCGUGCCCGAAGAGCCGCCCCUGGCCCCGGCCGGCAAGGAGCAGAAGAGCCCCGGCUUCGCACUGCCAGAGCUGGAGCACAACCUGCAGCUGCUGAUAGACCUGACCGAGCAGGAGAUCUUGCAGGGAGCGCGGAGGCUGCAGCAUGAGCGUGACGUGGUGGUGUCCCUGUCCCACGAGAGCGAGAUGCUGGCAGAGACGCUGUCCCAGGAGGAGGGGGCGCUGGAGAGGCUGGGCCAGGUGCUGGAGCUGGUGGAGCAGUGCGAGCGAAGGCUGAGCCCAGGGUCCGGCAGCACUGAGGAGCCCCUCUCUCUGGAGGACUGUGCGCAACUCUUCGAGAGGCUGCAGGGGGACUUCUACGAGGAGUACAAGGCGUUCGGACUGGCUGACCUGGCUGUGGCCAUGGUGCACCCCCUGCUCAAGGAGCACUUCAGGGACUGGGAGCCACUCAAGGACAGGAUCUAUGGGAUUGAGGUCAUCGGCAAAUGGAGGGCGCUGCUGGAGAGUGGGCAGAUGGCUCACAGCCAGCCAGACAUGAAUGCAAUGGACCCCUACCACAGGAUGCUGUGGGAGGUUUGGCUUCCCUUUGUGCGCACCUCUGUGACUCGCUGGCAGCCCCGGAACUGCGGGCCCAUGGUGGACUUCCUGGAGAGCUGGGCGCCCAUCCUGCCCAUCUGGAUCCUGGAAAAUAUCCUGGAACAGCUCAUCUUUCCCAAACUGCAGAGAGAGGUGGAGAGCUGGAACCCCUUGACUGACACAGUGCCCAUUCACUCCUGGAUCCACCCCUGGUUGCCUCUGAUGCAGGCACAACUGGAGCCGCUGUACCCACCGAUCCGCAACAAGCUAGCCAGCGCCCUGCAGAAGUGGCACCCCAGCGACAGCUCUGCCAAGCUCAUCCUGCAGCCCUGGAGAGACGUCUUCACGCCUGGGUCAUGGGAGGCAUUCAUGGUGAAGAACAUCGUCCCCAAGCUGGGGCUGUGCCUCAGUGAGUUUGUGGUGAACCCACACCAGCAGCACAUGGACCCUUUCCAAUGGGUGCUGGACUGGGAAGGCAUGCUGUCUCCCUCCAGCCUGGUCGGCAUGCUCGACAAACACUUCUUCCCAAAGUGGCUCCAGGUGCUGUGCUCCUGGCUCAGUAACAACCCUAACUACGAGGAGAUCACCAAGUGGUACCUGGGCUGGAAGUCGAUGCUGUCAGACGCGCUGCUGGCUCACCCCUCCAUCAAGGAGAAGUUCAACGAGGCUCUGGACAUCAUGAACCGCUCCGUGUCCUCUGGCAUCGGCGGGUACAUGCAGCCGGGCGCUCGGGAGAACGUCGCGUACCUCACACACACGGAGCGGCGCAAGGACUUCCAGUACGAGGCGAUGCAGGAGCGCAGGGAGGCGGAGAGCGUGGCUCAGCGUGGCAUCGGGGCUGCGGUCGCAGCCGCCUCCACUAUCCCCACCAACUUCAAGGACCUGAUCCAGGCCAAGGCCGAGGAGCACAACAUCGUCUUCAUGCCCGUGAUGGGCAAGCGGCACGAGGGCAAGCAGCUCUACACCUUCGGGAGGAUCGUCAUCUACAUCGACCGCGGCGUGGUGUUCGUGCAGGGAGAGAAGACCUGGGUGCCCACCUCCCUGCAGAGCCUCAUCGACAUGGCCAAGUAGGGGGGGGGGCGGGGGGGCUGCUGUGGCUUCAGUGCAGCUGAUCCCAACUGUGAACAUCCUAGAACAGGGGCAGCCAAAGCUGUCUCUUCAACUCCUGGUCUUUUCUUCCAACCAUGUUCUAAACUGUUUCAUUGAACCAAUUAAACCUCCACCCAGACCCUGAAGUAGGUCAGUGACCCUCAGUGAAGACAACUGAUGGAGGCAUCAUUAGUAUCUAGGAGAUUUUAUUAUCUAUUCUAAUGAUGCAUUUUGUUAUAAUUACAGCACAAUGCAAUACAGAUUAGUCCUCCUUCUGUUUGACAGAAGGAACGGAGGUCGGCUCCUGAGUCCACUUGAUCAGCUAGUGGGAUAGUGGUGCAAGAGUUACACUGAUCAACCAUUGAAAAAACAUUCAUUAAUUAAUAAAUACAAUAAAUUUGUUUUUUGUAAUGUCAUUUUUUAAAAUCUUUUUUUUUUUAAGUUUGUGUGAACUCCAUGGGGGUUGGAGAGAAACUUUUUUUGAAAACUUUGAAAAAAACCCUUCCUCUGCAUUAUAAAAUACAUGCACAAAUGAGACGCAUGGUACAAUUGUUCAGUCAGUGACCUUAGGGGAUAUAUGAAGUGAAAAAUACAACACAGUGAUUAAUAUUACAUAUUAGUUUGGGAUGUUUUUACCUGCCCUCAGGUGAAUUUAAGAUUCAAAAUAUGUAAUUAAAGAAGUUACAAUUACAAAUCGACUGGCCCUCUAUAUCAUUAAACAGACAGGAUUUAACUCAUGGGAACUCCUAAAAGCGAUGUUCCUGGAGGCCGUUCCACGCCAGGUUUAACAGGCUGGCGACUGCAAGGUUGGGUGGAGAGGAAGAGGUGGAUACGAGGACUGUGUUACAGGAGGAGGAGAUGAGAACGGGAGAGAGAGAGGAUGUACACAGUGUGACAGAGCUGCGGGAGAGAGG